rnacentral:rRNA from 1 species
AGAAUCAACGCUGGCGGCGUGCCUAACACAUGCAAGUCGAACGAGAAAGUGGAGCAAUCCAUGAGUAAAGUGGCGACCGGGUGAGUAACACGUGACUAACCUACCUUCGAGUGGGGGAUAACAUCGGGAAACCGAUGCUAAUACCGCAUAACAUCGCAAGAUCAAAGCAGUAAUGCGCUUGAAGAGGGGGUCGCGGCUGAUUAGCUAGUUGGCGGGUAACGCCCACAAGGCGAAGAUCGGUAGCCGGCCUGAGAGGGCGCACGGCCACACUGGAACUGAAACACGGUCCAGACUCCUACGGGAGGCAGCAGUGGGGAAUUUUGCGCAAUGGGGGAAACCCUGACGCAGCAACGCCGCGUGGAGGAUGAAGCCCCUUGGGGCGUAAACUCCUUUCGACCAAGACGAUAAUGACGGUACUGGUGGAAGAAGCACCGGCUAACUCUGCGCCAGCAGCCGC